rnacentral:rRNA from 1 species
AUACGAAGGGUGCAAGCGUUACUCGGAAUUACUGGGCGUAAAGCGUGCGUAGGCGGUUGGUUAAGUCUGCUGUGAAAGCCCCGGGCUCAACCUGGGAACUGCAGUGGAUACUGGCCAGCUAGAGUGUGUCAGAGGAUGGUGGAAUUCCCGGUGUAGCGGUGAAAUGCGUAGAGAUCGGGAGGAACACCAGUGGCGAAGGCGGCCAUCUGGGACAACACUGACGCUGAGGCACGAAAGCGUGGGGAGCAAACAGGAUUAGAUACCCUGGUAGUCCACGCCCUAAACGAUGCGAACUGGACGUUGGGCACACUUAGGUGCUCAGUGUCGAAGCUAACGCGUUAAGUUCGCCGCCUGGGGAGUACGGUCGCAAGACUGAA